rnacentral:rRNA from 1 species
CCUACGGGGGGCUGCAGUGGGGAAUAUUGGACAAUGGGGGCAACCCUGAUCCAGCCAUGCCGCGUGUGUGAAGAAGGCCCUCGGGUUGUAAAGCACUUUCAGUGAGGAAGAACGCCUGGUGGUUAAUACCCAUCAGGAAAGACAUCACUCACAGAAGAAGCACCGGCUAACUCCGUGCCAGCAGCCGCGGUAAUACGGAGGGUGCGAGCGUUAAUCGGAAUUACUGGGCGUAAAGCGUGCGUAGGUGGCUUGAUAAGCCGGUUGUGAAAGCCCCGGGCUCAACCUGGGAACGGCAUCCGGAACUGUCAAGCUAGAGUGCAGGAGAGGAAGGUAGAAUUCCCGGUGUAGCGGUGAAAUGCGUAGAGAUCGGGAGGAAUACCAGUGGCGAAGGCGGCCUUCUGGACUGACACUGACACUGAGGUGCGAAAGCGUGGGUAGCAAACAGGAUUAGAUACCCUUGUAGUC